ACAAGCAGCGGAGCACGUGGUUAAUUCGAUGAUACGCGAGGAACCUUACCUGGGCUCGAACGUAAGAUGACUGUAGGUGAAAGACUUACAUCUCUUCGGAGCAUUUUACGAGGUGCUGCAUGGUUGUCGUCAGCUCGUGCCGUGAGGUGUCGGGUUAAGUCCCAUAACGAGCGCAACCCCUACCUUUAGUUGCCAUCAGGUUAAGCUGGGGACUCUAAAGGAACUGCCUACGCAAGUAGUGAGGAAGGCGGGGAUGACGUCAAAUCAGCACGGCCCUUACGUCCAGGGCUACACACGUGCUACAAUGGCCGAUACAGAGGGCAGCUACCUGGUGACAGGAUGCAAAUCUCCAAAGUCGGUCUCAGUUCGGAUCGGAGUCUGCAACCCGACUCCGUGAAGUUGGAUUCGCUAGUAAUCGCGCAUCAGCCAUGGCGCGGUGAAUACGUUCCCGGGCCUU
rnacentral:rRNA from 1 species